UAGAUACCCUGGUAGUCCACGCUGUAAACGAUGAUCACUCGAUGUUGGCAAUAUAUCGUCAGCGUCCAAGCGAAAGCAUUAAGUGAUCCACCUGGGGAGUACGCUCGCAAGAGUGAAACUCAAAGGAAUUGACGGGGGCCCGCACAAGCGGAGGAGCAUGUGGUUUAAUUCGAUGAUACGCGAGGAACCUUACCUGGGCUUAAAUGUAGGACGACCGUCCCCGAAAGGGGAUUUUCUUUCAGACGUCUUACAAGGUGCUGCAUGGUUGUCGUCAGCUCGUGCCGUGAGGUGUCGGGUUAAGUCCCAUAACGAGCGCAACCCCUAUCCUUAGUUGCCAUCAGGUAAUGCUGGGGACUCUAAGGAAACUGCCUACGCAAGUAGUGAGGAAGGUGGGGAUGACGUCAAAUCAGCACGGCCCUUAUGUCCAGGGCUACACACGUGCUACAAUGGUCGGUACAGAGGGCAGCUACCUGGUGACAGGAUGCAAAUCUCGAAAGCCGGUCUCAGUUCGGAUCGAAGUCUGCAACUCGACUUCGUGAAGUUGGAUUCGCUAGUAAUCGCACAUCAGCCAUGGCGCGGUGAAUACGUUCCCGGGCCUUGUACACACCGCCCGUCAAGCCAUGGAAGCUUGGGGUACCUGAAGUCCGUGAUCGCAAGAAGCG
rnacentral:rRNA from 1 species